GACGAACGCUGGCGGCGUGCCUAAUACAUGCAAGUUGAGCGCUGAAGGUUGGUACUUGUACCUACUGGAUGAGCAGCGAACGGGUGAGUAACGCGUGGGGAAUCUGCCUUUGAGCGGGGGACAACAUUUGGAAACGAAUGCUAAUACCGCAUAAAAACUUUAAACACAAGUUUUAAGUUUGAAAGAUGCAAUUGCAUCACUCAAAGAUGAUCCCGCGUUGUAUUAGCUAGUUGGUGAGGUAAAGGCUCACCAAGGCGAUGAUACAUAGCCGACCUGAGAGGGUGGUCGGCCACAUUGGGACUGGGACACGGCCCAAACCCCUACGGGAGGCAGCAGGAGGGAAUCUUCGGCCAUGGACGAAAGUCUGACCGAGCAACGCCGCGUGAGUGAAGAAGGGUUUCGGAUCGUAAAACUCUGUUGGUAGAGAAGAACGUUGGUGAGAGUGGAAAGCUCAUCAAGUGACGGUAACUACCCAGAAAGGGACGGCUAACUACGUG
rnacentral:rRNA from 1 species